rnacentral:rRNA from 1 species
AUGCCCAGUUCACUACAGUGCACCGGCUCUACACAGUUCCUUGGUUCGCUAAAUCGGAUUAGGGUUUCCUGUGCCACCGUCGCCGCUGCCAAUUUAGGCCCCCUCGCCUCCGGCUGCCAUCUUGGCGCUGAGAGGUGGGGGGACAUCGGAUCUUCAAGACCUCUAUGUUCUUCAUCAACGUCUAGUGAUCAUCAUAGUUUUCCUUUUGUGUACCUACGCGUGCGCGCCGAUCAAGUCGGCGUAAUCAGCUACAUCUACGAGCCAACAGAGCACUCCCGGCCGUGUGUUCCUUCCCCAAGCUACAUCUUUUGCCUUGCCUUGGCGGCGUACGUCGACAUGAAACGCCAACAACACGGCGAGGUGGACGACGGAAUAUGCCGCCGCCGUAGCCCACGUCUCCAUCCCCAAAUCCAUGCCAGUGACGUGGGCGCCGCAGUGGCCCGCCGACGCAGCACGCGUCUCCAUCCCCAGAUCCACACGAGCGACGAGGGAGCCCGACUCAUGGACCGCCGCCGCCGCCGCCAUGGCAGCUUGCUGGACAACGACCAUGAUAUGCUCUGGGAGAUCCUACUCCGUCUCCCGCCGCAGCCGUCCUCCCUGCUGCGUGAAUGCGCGGUCUGCAAGCGUUGGCGACGGUUGCCACUGAACCCAAGUUCCUCCGUUGCUUCUGUGCCCACCACCGGAAGGCGCCCCUCCUCGGCUUGCUCGUGUGUCGCAACAGCCACAAGAACGUGUUCCACCCCGUACUUGAAUCCUCCCGACCGCAUCCCUCGGAAGCGCUUCACCCUUGGAUGCUACAGUAAAGUACGUUAUAGUGUGCUCAGUUGCCGCCAUGGUCGCAUCCUCGUCAAAGACUCAAAGAAUAAGGAGGCCGUUCUGUGCGACCCCAUCACAGGCGAGCAGCACCGCAUGCCCGUUCCGCCGGGAUUCGACAUGACCUAUCUCAGCGGGGCGGUGCUCUGCACCGCCGGCGAUCAGGGACAUGUGCACGGCAGCUGCCAUGCCAGCCCCUUCAAAGUGGUCCUGUUGUCCAUGUUCAUACACGAUGAUCGACGACCUCUGGCCCGUGUUUUCUCCUCACAGACCGGCAGGUGGGGCAAUCUCAUCUCAAUAGAGACUCAACCUAAGACAAUGUAUGGUCCUUGUUGCCCCGACACCCUUGUUGGCAAUGUCAUUUACUGGUUGUCUAGGUAUGGGAGAGACGAUGUAGUUGAGUUUGAUUUGGAGGGGCAGAAGCUUACCCUGAUCAAGGGGCCUCACAUCAGCUCUUUUAACUCCAUCACCUACAAAAAAUUAUGUCAAAAGGGUGAAGGAUUUACAUACACGCAGGUGAAGGGUGCUGCAAUUUUUAGUUGUUACCAAGUUUCUCGCAUCACAUCAAAUGUGGUCGGCGGUGUUUAUAUGUUAUCUUCAAAAAUUCUUAUCUUCAUCGAGGAGAGUAUCUGCCCCAGUUACCUUAGUGGUUCAUAUGAGCUAGAGGACUCUUCAUUCUUAAAGCAGUUGUUUGUUGCUGAAGGCACGAGAUUGGACAACAACGAGUCUAUAAUUGCACUCGCAAGAAUACAUACAACAUUCUUAGAUUGUAAAUAUCUGUUGGAAUUGCAAGUCAUUUUAAGUGAGGGAGCAGAAAAUGCUCACUUCGAUAUGGACGCCCCCUCGCUCGCGCGUAGCCCCGCUUCUCAACACAUCAUCCUAUUCAUGCUGCCCAUCCACCACCAUGCACAGCCGCCAUCUUCCGUCUGCUUUGGAAGACCGGAGGCUACCAGUAGAACGUUUUCAAGGGUGUUGGGACACGAGCCAGGCGUGAUUCCAUUGCUUCCUACCCGAGGUCGCGGAGGAGCAAGACGAACCAGACUGGGCACACCCCGUUCCUUUGCUCCAAGCCUCUAG